GACGUAGGGCGCGAGCGUUGUCCGGAUUUAUUGGGCGUAAAGAGCUCGUAGGCGGCUUGUCGCGUCGUCCGUGAAAACUUGGGGCUCAACCCCAAGCUUGCGGUCGAUACGGGCAGGCUAGAGUUCGGUAGGGGAGUCUGGAAUUCCUGGUGUAGCGGUGAAAUGCGCAGAUAUCAGGAGGAACACCGGUGGCGAAGGCGGGUCUCUGGGCCGAUACUGACGCUGAGGAGCGAAAGCGUGGGGAGCGAACAGG
rnacentral:rRNA from 1 species